CCUACGGGAGGCAGCAGUGGGGAAUCUUGCGCAAUGGGCGAAAGCCUGACGCAGCAACGCCGCGUGCGGGAAGAAGGCUUUCGGGCUGUAAACCGCUUUCAGCAGGAACGAAAAUGACGGUACCUGCAGAAGAAGGAGCGGCCAACUAUGUGCCAGCAGCCGCGGUGAUACAUAGGCUUCAAGCGUUGUCCGGAUUUAUUGGGCGUAAAGAGUUCGUAGGCGGUCAAGUAAGUCGGGUGUGAAAAUUCUGGGCUCAACCCAGAGACGCCACCCGAUACUGCUUAACUUGAGUUCGAUAGGGGAGUGGGGAAUUCCUAGUGUAGCGGUGAAAUGCGCAGAUAUUAGGAGGAACACCGGUGGCGAAGGCGCCACUCUGGAUCGAUACUGACGCUGAGGAACGAAAGCAUGGGUAGCAAACAGGAUUAGAUACCCUGGUAGUCCAUGCCGUAAACGGUGGGCACUAGGUGUGGGUUUCUAUUAACGAAAUCCGCGCCGUCGCUAACGCAUUAAGUGCCCCGCCUGGGGGAGGUACGGUCGCGAGACUAAACUACAAUAGAAUUAGACGGCGUGAGACGUCGCCGACGGACGACGACGAGGGAGUAGG
rnacentral:rRNA from 1 species